rnacentral:rRNA from 1 species
AGUGAACGCUGGCGGUAGGCCUAACACAUGCCAGUCGAACGGCAGCACAGUAAGAGCUUGCUCUUACGGGUGGCGAGUGGCGGACGGGUGAGGAAUACAUCGGAAUCUACUUUUUCGUGGGGGAUAACGUAGGGAAACUUACGCUAAUACCGCAUACGACCUACGGGUGAAAGCAGUGGAUCUUCCGACCUUUCGCGAUUGAAUGAGCCGAUGUCGGAUUAGCUAGUUGGCGGGGUAAAGGCCCACCAAGGCGACGAUCCGUAGCUGGUCUGAGAGGAUGAUCAGCGAAACUGGAACUGAGACACGGUCAAGACUCCUACGGGAGGAAGCAGUGGGGAAUAUUGGACAAUGGGCGCAAGCCUGAUCCAGCAAUACCGCGUGGGUGAAGAAGGCCUUCGGGUUGUAAAGCCCUUUUGUUGGGAAAGAAAAGCAGCAGGUUAAUACCCCGCUGUUCUGACGGUACCGAAAGAAUAAGCACCGGCUAACUUCGUG